UGGGGAAUAUUGGACAAUGGGCGCAAGCCUGAUCCAGCCAUGCCGCGUGAGUGAUGAAGGCCUUAGGGUUGUAAAGCUCUUUCGCCGGUGAAGAUAAUGACGGUAACCGGAGAAGAAGCCCCGGCUAACUUCGUGCCAGCAGCCGCGGUAAUACGAAGGGGGCUAGCGUUGCUCGGAAUCACUGGGCGUAAAGCGCACGUAGGCGGAUCGUUAAGUCAGGGGUGAAAUCCUGGAGCUCAACUCCAGAACUGCCCUUGAUACUGGCGAUCUCGAGUUCGAGAGAGGUUGGUGGAACUCCGAGUGUAGAGGUGAAAUUCGUAGAUAUUCGGAAGAACACCAGUGGCGAAGGCGGCCAACUGGCUCGAUACUGACGCUGAGGUGCGAAAGCGUGGGGAGCAAACAGGAUUAGGUACCCUGGUAGUCCACGCCGUAAACGAUGGAUGCUAGCCGUUGGGGGGUUUACCUCUCAGUGGCGCAGCUAACGCCUUAAGCAUCCCGCCUGGGGAGUACGGUCGCAAGAUUAAAACUCAAAUGAAUUGACGGGGUCAUAGCUGUUUCCU
rnacentral:rRNA from 1 species